GAUGAACGCUAGCUACAGGCUUAACACAUGCAAGUCGCAGGACUGGCGCACGGGUGAGUAACGCGUAUCCAACCUUCCCAUAACUACGGGAUAACCCGUUGAAAGACGGUCUAAUACCGUAUGGUUAUGGAUGUGGAUGCGUCUGCUUAGCUUGUUGGCGGGGUAACGGCCAACGAAGGCGACGAUCAGUAGUGGUGCUGAGAGGAAGGUCCCCAACAUUGGAACUGAGACACGGUCCAAGCUCCUACGGUAGGCAGCAGUUAGGAAUAUUGGUGAAUGGGCGGGAGCCUGAACCAGCCAAGUAGCGUGCAGGAUGACGGCUUCGGGUUGUAAAGUACUUUCAGCGAGGAGCGUUACUCGCAGAAGAAGCACCGGCUAACUCCGUGCCAGCAGCCGCGGUAAUAC
rnacentral:rRNA from 1 species